ensembl:lncRNA
GUGAGUAUAAAGAGGGCAUCGAGGAUACAGGAAGGUGUGUUGUUUUUGCCUCCCAAGGAACGCCACGAGUGGGACGGAGUGUUUGGGCGCUGGAGUAGGGCGAAGCAGAUGAGAGCAAUUGUGGAGUCGCUAAGCGAAUUGGAGGAUUUGAAAACGGCCACUGGAACAGGUUUGCCAAAGGGAAGUUUAUGGGAAGAAGUCGUACUCACUCGUGUCUGUUGUACGAAGGUGCCGUAGGGAAAUAGUGACAUUGUGGAACAACGAAGACAUUUCUGGGCGUCUGUACGAAGCUGGGGAGAGAAAGAGAGCGGGAGAAGAUUAGUCUUACGAAGACUGUGAGUACAUUGGAUUGCUUAGAUUGUUGUUUAUAUCUGGAUGAGAAAGAGAGCGGGAGAAGAUCAGUAUCACGAAGACUCUUGUUGAGCGGCCCCAUCGUUGGAGGACGAGACGAGUGGGUGAGCCGAAGUAGAGCGUGGGUGAAUGGUUGUUAUUUGGCUGUGGCCACACCGUAAAGUUUGGAGCACUUACCGUGACAGCGACUGCAAACUCCUCCAGGACGAAAUCCGACCGGGCGUGGAGUACCGACCUUAAAAAUCACUGAAGUGUGUGUAGUGCAGUGGGUGAGUCUGUCUUUGACGUGUGUACACCAAAGCUUUGCAGUGCUGUGCCGUGUCCCUGUUGUCUGUACUCGCCCUCCAGGCCGAGAAAAGUUGCUGUUGGAGAGAACGUAGGCUGCCGUGGCGGUGCCCACCUAUUCCACUUACGCCCGCCUAUAACUCCGUUCUCCGGACCCAGCUCGAAGGUGAAGUGUGAAAGCAAAACAAGGUAUUGUGCGGAUAUUGUGGGGAAAGCUACUGACCUUGAAUACGCCCUGUAAAGCCCAGCGUGAAGAUACAGUUACUUGUUGAAUACUUACCUGUCUGUACGAGCUAAAAGCUAUUGCCCUUGAAUACGCCCUGUAAGCCCAGCGUGAAGAUACAGCCACUUGUUGAAUACUUACCUCUCUGUACGAGCUAAAAGCUGCUGACCUUGAAUACGCCCUGUAAAGCCCAGUGUGAAGAUACAGCUACUUGUUGAAUACUUACCCGCCUGCACGAGUUAAAAGCCAUUGCUCUGGAACCCGCUCAGUAAGUCUAGUGUGAAGAGUCAGUCACCUUGCUCAAUAUCUAUCUGUGAUACGAGUAAAAAGUUACUCGCUUCUGAUAUACCGGUGGACAUCCAGGGGCAUGGCCUAGUUACCUUACCGUUGUUCCUUACCUGUGCCCUCAGGGAUUUGGGUGUUACCAAUAUCUACCUAGGAGGUCUAUGGGAGUGGAGGAGCUGUCCAGACGCUGGUGAAGUACAACCCAAAGAGCAAAGAAGCUAGGAACCAGGCAUUCUUCGUUUUACCCAUUACUCAUUGUGUGUUCUUGUUGCCUUCAG